GUUUUUCUCUGGCCAUUCUUUUCUUGUGGGGUAUUUUCUGUGAGCCUAGGAUAUGGAUGUAUAAACCAGAGAGCAUGCUGCAGUCCUGUUGUCAUUUCCUUGGUCCUCUGACCAGGGCAAACUGGAGACAAGACAUGGAAGGAUACACACUGAAGAAGAAGGGGAAUUAAAGUCCUGUUCGGCUUGUAAAUAUGCAGAAAGCUACAGAAAGUGGGAGGCGAUGGAAGAUAAAAAUCUACAGAGAAGAAAUGAGACAAUGUCAGCAAACCUUGGUAUCUUUCAGGCGAGUAGGCAACCUGACAAACAGAAAUAAUGUAAACUGUGCCGGCAUUAAAAAUGCAACGCCUUCUGCUUAUAAACAAGUCUGGAUUGGUUUUGUUUGUGGCUCUUCGUUGGUUGGUUGUUUUUUAGAUGAUCUGUCCUUUUAGAAAGAAUAACCAAAAAUAAGACUAUUUACUUCUUUAAUUUUUUAGCUUGCAUUUAUCUGUUAGCAAUCCAUUUGACUGAGUUGUU